UACGGGGGGGGCAAGCGUUGUUCGGAAUUACUGGGCGUAAAGGGCUCGUAGGCGGCCAACUAAGUCAGACGUGAAAUCCCUCGGCUUAACCGGGGAACUGCGUCUGAUACUGGAUGGCUAGAGGUUGGGAGAGGGAUGCGGAAUUCCAGGUGUAGCGGUGAAAUGCGUAGAUAUCUGGAGGAACACCGGUGGCGAAGGCGGCAUCCUGGACCAAUUCUGACGCUGAGGAGCGAAAGCCAGGGAGCAAACGGG
rnacentral:rRNA from 1 species